AUGAUUUGAGUUUCAUUUUUAUAUGAUGAAGUUUGAUUAUGUGUGUACAUGUUGAUGAAAAAGGCGUAGUUGCCCUUUAAUGUCUCAAGCGUAGAUGCAGAUGUUUGUUUACGUUUCGUUUUACGACAGUUCUGUCUGUGCUUGAUAGAGAAGCAUACAGUUUUCUUACCUGCGUCCAGCAAGAAUUACAAGUAUCUUAGCCAGCCGCAUUUUUCCUGUCUGUGGAAUUAUAUUUUGGAGAACAAAAUAAACUGGAGAGUUUAUAUUUUUUCUUUAAUCAUGACGUGUCCGGAGUGGAUUUGUGGGAUCGUGUAGCUGAGCUAACUGCGAGCAUUGCAUGUGGAAAUACUUUCUUGCUAACGAGACUCAGUGUUGUGAAGGAAGCAGGUGGUUCCACAUGUCCAUCUCCCCACCAAUACUUUCCAGUUCCAUCUGUCAGAUCCCAAGGCGAUCCCAGGUCAGAUGAGAUCUGCAAUCAGGCAACUGAGUUCUGGGUCUACGACGGAGUUUCCUUCCAGCUAGAUGUACCGAACUACCCAGGCUGUUUACUUUGGACGUGAAGGAGCAGCAACUCUACUCUGAGCUCCCUUCUGAUGUCCAAGUUCCACACCCAACCUCUACGACUGAGUCAGACUAUAGUCUAAUGACGAGACCACUGUAGGACACAGUCAGCCAGAACAGAAAGCAGCUGAUCUGAAGAUGUGGUGCCAAGACAAAGGAAAUCAGCUUCAGCUUCAGCAGCUUCAGGACAGACGCAACACACGCACUCGACACAUGGCGGAGCUGUCUGACCAACAAAGGAAACGAGGAGAGGCUGGUGAGGAAUAACCUGCAUGUGGCAGCGCAAAACACCAGAGACAUGUUUGAGCUGAAGGGGGCAGUCACAUGGUGCAGAGGAUUUGACCUAAUGUGAUACACGUUUUAAUUGAAAACGUAGGAAAAAAUGAUCAGAGGUUUGCAAGAAACUGACAAAUUACUCUAAGUAACCAUUUAUUAGAGUCCAAACUGAUCAUCAAAUUCAGCCUUUUUCAGGGACAAAGUCAGAUUGCUUUGCAAUGUUCACAACACACACUUUAUCCUCCUCCCAGGUAUAACAAGGUGAUGUCUUUUAACCCAAACAUGGCCCCAUAAACUGACCUGUCAAAGGCUGCUUGGCCACAUCUCCACUGAGGUGUAAGGAGGCUACUGUUCCUACUGCACUCCACCUCUGAGAAAUAUAGUUUUCGACAGCUUAUGUAACAUGUCAGCUAAACAGGGGAGACAUUUCACUGUGUGUAUGUGCACGCGUUUGUUUGAGGACAUACAGUAUCAGUGUUUUAGGGUUGAAGGUGUUGGCAGGGGUGAGGAGUCAGGUCGGAGUGUCAGGACCUAUCUGUCGUAUCUGUGCUUGUGUGAGACUGUCUGCGUGGUGUUACACAUCCACCUGAGUGUUUGUGUGUGCACAAAUGUACUGUAUCUAGUGUGUGUGGAGGUGAAAGUCGUUGCUCAGUGUUGUGGCAGGGGGUCAGUAUGUCAGAUCCUACAAAAGAGUUGCCCUUAGA